UAUAACUACACUAUUCCUUCACAUACGUUCAAAGGACUAGAUGCCCUGUUUUACAGAUAUUUGCUCAACCACGUUCAUCAUUGCUCUGUUCAUAGUAGCUGGAAAAUGGAAACAACCUAAAUGGUCUUCAGCUGAUGAAAGGAUAGUGAAAAUGUGGUGCCUACACACAAUGGAAUUCUAUAUCAGAGCCUGGAAACCAUGGCAGCAGCAGGAAGUUCCGGCUGUUUGAAAGUUGCGGUUCCGGUGUUCAAAAUGCCAAGGAUGAUGGGAAACUUGAGCUUGUUUAUCGGUUUGUACGGAACGCCACCCACCUUUCGACUGGAACACAGAGGACUACUAGAUUAAGUGGAAACAAUGCCCAGGCAUCCCAGUGCCCCCACUGAUGGUCCAGCUAUCAUCAAGAUGGUGACGAGCUUCAUAUGACCUGGAGGAGGACUGUGCAGAGGACCUUCUAGCACCAUAAACACUAAUCAGUGAGCAAUGCUGAACUUCUAAUUAGGCAAGAGCUCAACCUCUUCAUGCUUGAGGACAUAAAGUUCAGGAUCAAGCUCAGAAGCUCACAGCUGCCAGCAGCACACUACAACUGCACCGUCUCCUUAGUCCAUGCUCACUCUUAAAUAGCCACAAAACAUUCAGUGGUAUGGCAAAGGAAACCUCCAUUUCAUUUAGAUGUUUAUGAUAUUUUUCCCCACUUUAAUUAUUUUAUGUAGUUGAAUAUGAUUUUUUUCCUAAGGAAUUUUUUGUAUCUCAAUGUAAGACUCUUCAACCUUUAUGUUAUGCAUAAUUUCCUGUAGUUUCCAAAAGUGCUUUAAUAAAAAGUUUAAUUUUAAA